rnacentral:lncRNA from 1 species
UAAAAUUAAAAAAAAAAUAAUCUAAUUUUUACUCUCUUUUUUUCUGAAAAUCAAAAUCAUCUAUGGCCCCCACCACGGCUACCACCCUUGCAUAUCUCCACUGCUGCUACACACUGUACAGAGAGUAUUCAUAUGUGUCGACACCGAGGGCAAACCAAGUCUCGUACCUUACCGGUCAGAUACAAUUUGCCCCAUAUUGAGAGAAUAUGAUUUAAUAGUCUCAUGAAACUUUAGAAACAUUCACAUACUCGAGAAUUUAAUUUGAUGAUAAAGAACUGAAAAUGGAGUAACUCCAAAUAAUUAAAAACUAGGUCAAAAUUCUAUGCAUGAGUGAGGAAAGUAUUUUGAAGGCGAGCAAUCAAUUUUGCCCUUCCGAAAAUUUAAAUUGCAUUCUGGUUUUGACUGCUUAGGCUUCAGAAACAUGCAUAUCAUCACUCUUGGACUGUGUGUGACUGGAAAAUUAACUAGGAAUGAGCCGCUCCAAUCAUAUUUCGUGGCCUACAAAGAUAAUCCAUGCAAUUAGCCAAACACAGACCAGCUGAGCUCAUCUUAGAGGAGGAAAGC